UUACAUUAUUUUGCUUGUAGAUACAGUUUUCGGAAUAUCUAAUUUAUUCUUAUCAACGUAAAUAUUAUUUAUAUUUUCAAUACUCGCCAGAUAUUUAGUAACUCGUGAAAGGCACUAGUGAGAACACGUGACAAAUAAAUCAACUCAAAAUGUGUCUAAGUUGUGUAUGCGGUCUUCUUUGCAAGAUCAUCAGUUUAUUCUUUUCGUUAAUAGUCAUCGUGGGUAUAAUCCUACUUAUAUUGUGGGCGACGGGAGUGAUCUUCGUAAAAGAGGGCACUGACGGCAAUGUGAAUAACGUAUUAAGAAGCACUCUGAGAUUGGGGAAUGGAGCAUAACACACAAGAAAAAAGCACGAGAUGCGUAAUAUAAUCUAAGUAUUAAUAAUUUAUCAUAGACUUAAUAUUUAAUUUUAAGCGGAUGUAAAAUACUAUUGAUAUGUAAUCGGUAAUAAAAGGUUAUUGUUAUAUUGAAACAAAUAUAAUGAUUAACUACAAUUUUCGCCGCUGAUUCACUAAGCAAUUUAACUUAAAUAACAUUAAUUAAUUAAUUAACUUUAAUUGAAC